rnacentral:rRNA from 1 species
CCUACGGGAGGCAGCAGUGGGGGAUAUUGGACAAUGGGGGGAACCCUGAUCCAGCGACGCCGCGUGAGUGAAGAAGUAUUUCGGUAUGUAAAGCUCUGUCAGCAGGGAAGAAAGAAAUGACGGUACCUGACCAAGAAGCCCCGGCUAACUACGUGCCAGCAGCCGCGGUAAUACGUAGGGGGCAAGCGUUAUCCGGAAUUACUGGGUGUAAAGGGAGCGUAGACGGUUAAGUAAGUCUGGAGUGAAAGGCCGGGGCCCAACCCCGGGACUGCUCUGGAAACUAUUGAACUUGAGUGCAGGGGGGGUUAGCGGAAUUCCUAGUGUAGCGGUGAAAUGCGUAGAUAUUAGGAGGAACACCAGUGGCGAAGGCGGCUUACUGGACUGUAACUGACGUUGAGGCUCGAAAGCGUGGGGAGCAAACAGGAUUAGAUACCCCGGUAGUC